AUUUGAAUAGUUUAUUUUAAAAUAUGAAUUUGUGGAGUUCAAGAUAACAUAAAGUUUUCAGGUA
rnacentral:tRNA from 1 species